AGCAGUAGCCGCGGUAAUACGUAGGUGGCAAGCGUUGUCCGGAAUUAUUGGGCGUAAAGGGCUCGCAGGCGGUUUCUUAAGUCUGAUGUGAAAGCCCCCGGCUCAACCGGGGAGGGUCAUUGGAAACUGGGAAACUUGAGUGCAGGAGAGGAGAGUGGAAUUCCACGUGUAGCGGUGAAAUGCGUAGAGAUGUGGAGGAACACCAGUGGCGAAGGCGACUCUCUGGUCUGUAACUGACGCUGAGGAGCGAAAGCGUGGGGAGCGAACAGGAUUAGAUACCCGCGUAGUCCCUGUCUCUUAUAA
rnacentral:rRNA from 1 species